rnacentral:rRNA from 1 species
CUACGGGUUGCACCAGUGGGGAAUAUUGCACAAUGGAGGAAACUCUGAUGCAGCAACGCCGCGUGGAGGAUGACACUUUUCGGAGCGUAAACUCCUUUUAUGUAGGAAGAAAAUGACGGUACUAUAUGAAUAAGCGCCGGCUAACUCCGUGCCAGCAGCCGCGGUAAUACGGAGGGCGCAAGCGUUACUCGGAAUCACUGGGCGUAAAGAGCGUGUAGGCGGAUUAAAAAGUCAGAAGUGAAAUCCUAUAGCUUAACUAUAGAACUGCUUCUGAAACUCUUAAUCUGGAAUGUGGGAGAGGUAGAUGGAAUUUCUGGUGUAGGGGUAAAAUCCGUAGAGAUCAGAAGGAAUACCGAUUGCGAAGGCGAUCUACUAGAACAUUAUUGACGCUGAGACGCGAAAGCGUGGGGAGCAGACAGGAUUAGAUACCCGAGUAGUC